rnacentral:rRNA from 1 species
UACGUAGGGUGCGAGCGUUUAAUCGGAAUUACUGGGCGUAAAGCGUGCGCAGGCGGUUGUGCAAGACAGAUGUGAAAUCCCCGGGCUCAACCUGGGAACUGCAUUUGUGACUGCACGGCUGGAGUGCGGCAGAGGGGGAUGGAAUUCCGCGUGUAGCAGUGAAAUGCGUAGAUAUGCGGAGGAACACCGAUGGCGAAGGCAAUCCCCUGGGCCUGCACUGACGCUCAUGCACGAAAGCGUGGGGAGCAAACAGG